AACACAAACCACCUCAGAUAAAAUUAUUCAGGCUAGUUAUUAAUUGUCAGUAGUGUGACCUGGCUCACUUUGUGGCUCACAAAAGCUGUCCUUCCCUAUGGUUUUUGCAGACUUGUAGAGGGAUAAAUGCUUGCCUUUGCUUCUGCCUUUACCUUUGCAAACAUCAGGAAAAUUCUUCAGCCUGCUACUUUGCUUCCUUCCAUAGAAGCACAAAUACUGUACUGAUUCAGGUCAUGGGUAUUUUUGAAGACACUGCAUACCAUGAAAAAGACAUGGACAAGAACUUUGAGGUGAAAGAGGAGGAAGCAAAGGAAACACUGGAGGAUGGGAGGUAUCAAGGAUGAACCUACAGCUACAGGUCCUUCAGGCUUUCAAAACUGGCCCUGCUGAUGAAAAACAGCAACUAUCAUCAAUCAUGCUGAUUCAAAGUCAAGUACAGUGAAGUAGGAGCCUUCCCAAAAAUCUUAUGGCUACUGCAUCAAAAGCUACAAUGAACAUGUGCAUGGACAUGUGCAAUCCAUCAUUUAAAAUAGCUGGGGUACCUCUGGUAUGGGUGGCUAAAUAAAACAAGCAUCUUCGAUAUAUAAACUGAA